GUAAUACACACAAAAGAAUUUUUCGAAAAAAACGUCGCGAGAGUUUCUUCGAAAUAUCUCAUUCGGAAUAAUAGAUACACACACAUAGAUCAUAGAUAAUAGGCGGUUGACCGAAUGCGUUUAUCUCCAUCCAAACGAUAUUUCGAUAGAGCCGUUUCGCGGCGGUAGAACGGACGAUUUAUGCAAAAAUCUUUUAGACGUGCGUGUCGUUCCUCGUUCUUUAUCGAUCGUUUGCGGCUACGCGCGCUUAUUACGGGACGUUUCCCAACUACGUUAGGGACGGAUUUACCGAAAAAACGCCCAAAGACUAAUAAAAAAAAAAAAAAAAAAAAAACACGUUCCUAUGUUUUGGAACAUAGACCCUCCUCCUUCCAAUAUAUUUACCAAUUUUGCAUGUCUUUAAUACAAACGAUUCUAGGUACUUAAAACUUGCCUACAACUGUUUACCGUCAUUAGUUGUAUUGUCCUGUUCCUCCAAACUCGCACUCUGUUUUAAUUCUACUUAUUCUUCACGGUCCCUUCCCUUCAAGUGCUACUCUCAAAGCUUACUGUUCACUUGUUCCGCAAUUUCUCCUACCAAAGCUGUACAUAAUCUGCAAAACACCACGCACUAUGAUAUCUCUUCUCACCUAAUGGCCCUGCACACAAGCGAGUUUUGUUGGCCACGGCACCCAUUGAAGUCAUAGAGCUCCUAGGCUAUAGCGUAG